UACGUAGGGACCAAGCGUUGUCCGGAAUCAUUGGGCGUAAAGAGCGCGUAGGCGGCCUGUUAAGCCUUGCGUGAAAUCUCGGGGCUCAACCCCGAGCGGUCGUGAGAAACUGGCGGGCUAGAGUGCGGGAGAGGAGAGUGGAAUUCCUGGUGUAGCGGUGAAAUGCGCAGAUAUCAGGAAGAACACCCGUGGCGAAGGCGGCUCUCUGGAACGCAACUGACGCUGAGACGCGAAAGCGUGGGGAGCAAACAGG
rnacentral:rRNA from 1 species